UUCAGAUCCAACGUUACGUUGCGACUGUGGUAACUCUUAUCGCACACUUAAAAGUCUCACUAUGCACCAACGGUAUUACUGUAAAAAGGAGGCCAAUUAUAUUUGUUCGACAACUGGAUGCUCAUACAAAUCAAAAAAGAAAGAGAAUUUAAAACGACACGUAUUAACUGUACAUAGAGAAAUAAAUUAAUACACUAACCAUAUCAGCACUGUUUUAGCAUUCUUAUUUAGCACCUUACAAUUUCUUAAAAUUAACUACAUUAACAUGCCAUUUAAUGUAUGUCAGUUAUUAAAAAUUUGUGUAUGUCAUUUCAGAUCCAACAUUAUUUUGCGACUGCGGCAGGUCGUACACUUCGUUCAAAAGUUUAACAAUGCACUCAAAAUAUUAUUGUAAAAAGGAAUUGAAGUAUAUAUGUGAAGUACCAUGGUGCACUUAUAAGUCGAAACAAAAGGGAGCUUUAAAAAGUCAUUACUUCCGUAUUCAUAAAAUAAGUCAGUAAACUAUUAUUGAUGUAAUAACGUCUUUUAUUACCCCUUUCGGCAACAGUGUUAGUCUGCUCCAGAAAGAAAUGUUAAGAACAAAAUAUCCUCAUUAUAUUAAAAUAAAUUUAGGUGGUAUUUAACGAGAGUAAUUUUAGAUUCGCUGCGACCUUUCGCAUGUUUCUGUGGCAGAGCAUAUCGGACCAUGUACAAUCUCACAAAACAUCAAAGAUACGAAUGCGGAAAGGAGCCGAGGUUUCAUUGUGUCGAAGAAGGAUGCUCCUAUAAAUCUAAGAGAAAGGAAAACCUUAAACGUCACGUGUUAUGCAUACAUAAACAUAUUAACUAAAUAAAUCGUCCAACUCACUGUUUUCUUCGGAGGAUAUUCGUGUUCCGUUUGUAACAAGUCUUACAAAAAUAAGACGACCCUCAGCAGGCACUUAAAGUACGAAUGCAAGAAGGAGCCGUCUUUCGCAUGUGAUAAGUGUUCGUACAAGUGCAAACAAAAGUAUAACUUAACACUACAUGUUUACAACAAACAUUUAAAGAAAUGCCUUCUUAAUUAUUCAUAAAAAUAUUUAUUUUUUAUUUCUUGUAUCAAGAUGUUUUUUUAUUAAACAAAUUUGAAUUGACAGAGGUUUUUUAUUACUACGUUGCUAUUUGAAUAAAAUAAAUCAGAAUUAUUAUUCUAGUAUGAACUGUAGUUUAUUAUUGCUACAAAUUAACAGAAUCUUUUUUAGAAAACCGUCACAAAUGUCCCAAUUGUAGUAGAAGUUAUAAAUGGAGACGAGGACUGGCACAACACCUGAAAUACGAAUGCGGAAAGGAGCCUCAGUUUUCCUGCCACGAAUGCGACUACAGAACGAAAGUCAAGGGAAAUUUGACGAAUCACAUAAAACACAAACAUGCGGGACACACGAAUGUCAUUUACUUUCAAAAUUAAAUUUUAGUUGUUUUCACAACUUUACUUCAAAAUUCCAUACUCAGUGUGUGUAAUAAAAGGGUGAUUUUAAUUUGA